CCUACGGGAGGCAGCAGUGGGGGAUAUUGGACAAUGGGGGGAACCCUGAUCCAGCGACGCCGCGUGAGUGAAGAAGUCUCUCUGUAUGUAAAGCUUUGUCAGCAGGGAAGAAAGAAAUGACGGUACCUGACCAAGAAGCCCCGGCUAACUACGGGCCAGCAGCCGCGGUAAUCCGGAGGGGGCAAGCGUUAUCCGGAAUUACUGGGUGUAAAGGGAGCGUAGACGGUUAAGUAAGUCUGGCGUGAAAGGCCGGGGCCCAACCCCGGGACUGCUCUGGAAACUAUUCAACUUGAGUGCAGGAGAGGUAAGCGGAAUUCGUGGUGUAGCGGUGAAAUGCGUAGAUAUUAGGAAGAACACCGGUGGCGAAGGCGGCUUACUGGAGUGUAACUGACGUUGAGGCUCGAAAGCGUGGGGAGCAAACAGGAUUAGAUACCCCAGUAGUC
rnacentral:rRNA from 1 species